GAUAUAUAUCAGUUAGUUAUUUUAUACAUUCAAAAUUCAUUAGUUUCUUUUAACUUAAGAUCAAUAGAUUUCGUCUAGACAAAUGUUUUUAUUACUUUGUUAAAAAAAGUUUUUCAUUUGUUUUUUAGAUGAUACUUUUGAGAGGUCAGUUUUUUUUUGCGAUUUAUUAUUUUAGUAUUUAGUCUUUUACUCUCAAUAUUCAAUUAUAUAUCUUUAUUAUGCUAUGUUUUUUGUGCAGAUUUUUGUGCAUCCACAAAGUUUUUUUACAGUUGUUUAUUUAUAUGUUCCUGAUUGUUUCAUGAUUUUUAUUGAAUCAUUGUUGUUUUUUUUCUAUAGACAAUUUAAAACAAACUAUUAGUAAGUAAAGUUUGAAAUAUUUUAGUUAUUUAGUCAUUGAAACUUUUUUUUUUUUUUGUAAUGUUAGUGUUAUAGUUUAAUCUUAUAAUGAAGUAAGUAGUUUAAAGUUGGCUUUUAGGUGAAUUUAGAAUUUUUUAAUUCUUUAUCAACACUUCAUUAAUUGGUAAGAGAUUAAUGUGUAUUUUUAUGUGUAUGUAUUGAGAAAUAUAAUCUGAUUUUGUGUAUUAUUUAUAUGUACUAUAUUAUUGUAUAUUUAAUAUGCACUAUAUAUGUAUAUUUGAUAUGUAAUAUUUACAUGUACUAUUUAAUCUUUUGUGUCAUUGUAUUAUUUAAUUUUUAAUAUCCUUGUCAUCUGUUGCAGCUGGUAAGGUUUCUAUAUUAUUAAUUUGAGAGAUAAAGUUGUUAAAUGCUCAGUUCAUGUAGCGCGUACAAAUAGAGUAAGCAAUCGAUUGCAUCAGGCUAGAAUUAGAGCCAAUAUUUCCCGAAGACAGGCAUCCAAGCGCCAAAAAAAUCGAUGAAAAAGAAAAAAGUUAGAGAAAAAAAAAUUAGAGCGUUAGCUAUCCAAACUGAGUUAUGAUGAAAUUAUAGAUUCAUACAAAAAUUGUCUAAUGACCAACUUUAUAAUUUAGAAGAUGUCAUGUAUAGAAGAAUAGUAGGCAAAAAACUCAUGAAUGAUAUGAUCCUAAACAUCCAAGCCUGUUUUGUAUAAUGGCAGAGUAGAAAAAGUAUUUAGUUGAAAAAAUGACUUAGUUUGCACUAUUUCUUACUGGAAAGAUGAUGAAACGUAUAUGGAGGCUGUUGACCAUUGCAUGAAAAAGAUCCAGCUUGUUCCAGAUGUUAUUUCAGAAGACUUACAAUUUUAUUAAUUUUAUAUUAAAUUAAUAAAACACAGUGAAAGUACAAGUUUGAAAUUAAGGCUAAAAAAGUACUACAAAUGAAUUGCUGAAAAAUACUACCAGUGUUGUGACUAGCCUAAAAGAAAUUUAUUAUUGUACCAGUGUUGUGACUAGACUAAAAGAAAUUUAUUAUUGUAAUCAUUCACUAAAAGCCAAGACAAAACUAUAUGAGAUAAAAAAUAAACAAACCAUUAUUAUUUCUUUUUAAUAACAUUUUAUUUGUUUUUUAGUUUGAAACAGCCAAAGCGCUAUUUGAAAUAUUUAAAAAUUAUUAAAGGUUGGUUAAUAAAAUGGAUAUCAAAGCUGUAGAACAUUCCAUGAAAAAGUUUCAGCAUGUUGCAAAUAUUGUUUCCAGAGAGUUGACUAGAUAUUAUUUUGUUAAAACACUACAAAAAUAUAUAUUUGAAAUUUAUAGAUUAAAAAACUGCAAGUGCUGUGACAUGUUGAAAAAAAAAGUACUGCUAGUGGUGUGACUAGCUAAAAAAAAGUACUGCAAGUGCUGUGACUUGCUAAAAAAAGUGCUGCAAGUGUUUUGGCUUGCUAAAAAUAGUACUGCAAGUGUUGUGACUUGUUAAACAAAAGUACUGCAAGUGUUUUAACUUGCUAUAUAUUUUUGAUAGACGGCUUUGGCUUACCUUCAGGUGGUGUCAAUUGUUAAAAAUGAUUAUAAAAUAAUUUCAUUAGUAUAAUUUAUCAUUGUAGUCAUUCACUAAAAGCCAAGAAAAAACUUUAUGAAAUAAAGCAUCAUUAAAAUAAUCAAACGUUAUUUAGUGUUAAUAACAUUUUAUUUGUUUUUUAGUUUGAAACAGCCUAACUUUUCGUUAACCAAACUAAUAUCAAGCACUAUAUGAAAGAUUUAUAAAGUUGGGGGAAAGGGGGGACAGCCCCUCUCUUUUGAAAAUGGAUGCUACACUGAUGUAACUUUUACCGGGUAAGAUAUAUUUUUACUUCUUUGUUGUUGUUUUUUAGAUAACCAAUCAAAUAUUUCAUAAUUAAAUUUUCAUAAUUAAUUUUUUUGCGAUAUUAGGGUGUGUUAAAACAUGGUCAACACAUUUAACAUGAGUUUUACACUUACCUUCAAUGUUUGGUGAUUGUCCAGUAUUAAUUUAUAGAACCUUUUUUAUACAGAAAAAAACUUUGUUUUAGGACUUUAGGAAACAGUAGUUGUGUCAUUUUAAUUUUUUUUUAUUUUUUUUUUUUUUAGGUGGGGGGAGGGGGGGUUAUUCGCCCCUCCCAUACAUCGAUGUAAACAAGACUUAAAUUCGUAAUAGUACCACCACGUAAAUUCUUGUAGAACAUAAUUUUAUAUUGUAUACUAAUUGAAUUCAUUUUAGUAAAGAUAAAAAUAUUCAUGAAAA